rnacentral:misc_RNA from 1 species
CCUCCUUAAAAAAUAAUCGCUUAGGAUAGGCGUUCACACGAAUAACUUGCUUUUACCUAAAUCAUUUCUUUACAGAUUUGAGAUUAAGGAGCGUUCUUUAACAUUUUUAUAAGUUCAAUCAAGUCACAUCAUAGUGUCUUAGUUUUUUAAUUUAGAUAUGAAUGAUGUGCAAAUGUCACCAAACCCGUCAUGUUUUAGAACAUAAGUUUGGUGUACAUACUGCAAAGUAAUUUUGGCGAAUGACAAUAGAUACUUGAAGAACAUUAAUCAUUAAGUUGUUUGAUGUAAUAUGGUCAAGUAAUUAAGCGCAUACGGUGGAUGCCUUGGCAGCUAGAGGCGAUGAAGGACGUAGUAACUUGCGAUAAGCUUCGGGGAGCCGGUAAACAGGCUUUGAUCCGAAGAUUUCCGAAUGGGGA